AAAGAUUAAGCCAUGCAUGUCUAAGUAUAAGCAAUUUGUACUGUGAAACUGCGAAUGGCUCAUUAAAUCAGUUAUCGUUUAUUUGAUAGUACCUUACUACAUGGAUACCUGUGGUAAUUCUAGAGCUAAUACAUGCUAAAAACCUCGACUUCGGAAGGGGUGUAUUUAUUAGAUAAAAAACCAACGCCCUUCGGGGCUCCUUGGUGAAUCAUAAUAACUAAGCGAAUCGCAUGGCCUUGCGCCGGCGAUGGUUCAUUCAAAUUUCUGCCCUAUUAACUUUCGAUGGUAAGAUAGUGGCUUACCAUGGUGGCAACGGGUAACGGGGAAU
rnacentral:rRNA from 1 species